rnacentral:rRNA from 1 species
GGCUCCUACGGGAGGCAGCAGUGGGGAAUCUUGGACAAUGGGCGGAAACUUGAUGCACCGAUGCCGCGUGAGUGAAGAAGGCCUUAGGGUUGUAAAGCUCUUUCGUCAGAGAAGAUAAUGACAGUAUC